GUGCAUUUUAGUGAAUAGCAAAUAGCAUUACAGUUUCUAAAGUUUCCAACUGAGUGUUUAUGUUCCAGACAGGGAACUUUAAUAAUUGGCAUGCAGCAAAGUUAGCAAUGUUUGCGUAACUUUGCAGCAAUGCUAAAUAACCCUUGUGCAACUGAAAAGUGGCUUUAUUCUGCAAUACUGUGUCAGACAUUUUGUGCUAAUGAGCUGUAU